rnacentral:rRNA from 2 species
CGAGUGGCGAACUGGUGAGUAACACGUGGGUAACCUGCCCCGAAGCGGGGGAUAACAUUUGGAAACAAGUGCUAAUACCGCAUAAUUAGUUGGAACCGCAUGGUUCCAACUUGAAAGAUGGCUCUGCUAUCACUUUGGGAUGGACCCGCGCCGUAUUAGUUAGUUGGUGAGAUAAAAGCCCACCAAGACGAUGAUACGUAGCCGACCUGAGAGGGUAAUCGGCCACAUUGGGACUGAGACACGGCCCAGACUCCUACGGGAGGCAGCAGUAGGGAAUCUUCCACAAUGGACGAAAGUCUGAUGGAGCAACGCCGCGUGAGUGAUGAAGGUUUUCGGAUCGUAAAACUCUGUUGUUAAAGAAGAACAAGUGUUAGAGUAACUGUUAACACUUUGACGGUAUUUAACCAGAAAGCCACGGCUAACUACGUGCCAGCAGCCGCGGUAAUACGUAGGUGGCAAGCGUUGUCCGGAUUUAUUGGGCGUAAAGCGAGCGCAGGCGGUUUUGUAAGUCUGCUGUGAAAGCCCUCAGCUCAACUGAGGAAGUGCAGUGGAAACUACAAAACUUGAGUACAGAAGAGGAAAGUGGAACUCCAUGUGUAGCGGUGAAAUGCGUAGAUAUAUGGAAGAACACCAGUGGCGAAGGCGGCUUUCUGGUCUGUUACUGACGCUGAGGCUCGAAAGCAUGGGUAGCGAACAGGAUUAGAUACCCUGGUAGUCCAUGCCGUAAACGAUGAAUACUAGGUGUUGGAGGGUUUCCGCCCUUCAGUGCCGCAGCUAACGCAUUAAGUAUUCCGCCUGGGGAGUACGACCGCAAGGUUGAAACUCAAAGGAAUUGACGGGGGCCCGCACAAGUGGUGGAGCAUGUGGUUUAAUUCGAUGCUACGCGAAGAACCUUACCAGCUCUUGACAUCUUCUGCCAACCCAAGAGAUUGGGCGUUCCCUUCGGGGACAGAAUGACAGGUGGUGCAUGGUUGUCGUCAGCUCGUGUCGUGAGAUGUUGGGUUAAGUCCCGCAACGAGCGCAACCCUUAUUAUUAGUUGCCAGCAUUUAGUUGGGCACUCUAGUGAGACUGCCGGUGAUAAACCGGAGGAAGGUGGGGACGACGUCAAAUCAUCAUGCCCCUUAUGAGCUGGGCUACACACGUGCUACAAUGGAUGGUACAACGAGUCGCGAAACCGCGAGGUCAAGCUAAUCUCUUAAAGCCAUUCUCAGUUCGGAUUGCAGGCUGCAACUCGCCUGCAUGAAGUUGGAAUCACUAGUAAUCGUGGAUCAGCAUGCCACGGUGAAUACGUUCCCGGGCCUUGUACACACCGCCCGUC